CGGACCUAAUCUUUGAUUUCUCUCUUUACAUUCUUCUUCUUAUCCUCUUCAAGACCUCUCUAACGGUAAAUCCCAUCAAUGGGUGGUGACCAAUCGAGGAGGCGCACCAGUGAUUCAAGGAUGAUUGCUAAACAAUCUCCCGCGGCGAGAAACGACGUCAAUGCUUAUAUUGCCUAUCUGUUGUCCGAUUAACUGGUUAGGGAAGGAGCUGACACCUCCUACACGCGGCCUGACCAGCCAAAAACCCCGUCCCGUGAUGUUAGUUUGGGUUUUAGAGAGCCUUCUCCACUGCUUGUGGAGCUGACCUCUCCUCCGUCCUAGUCAACCCGCUUGAUAUUGUCAAGACAAGAUUGCAAGUGCAAUCUGCCGGAGUUCCAUAUUCACAUCCUCUUAGUAAUGUUAUCAACCGAAUGGCAUUCUUCGGUCCAAACAUGGUAUGGGUGCCUUUUAAUGUUUCUCAGUAUUUCUGAGUUAUGAAUUACAACAAUUGUAGUGCCAAACUUUAACUUAGAACUAUUAAGAUAUUUUUGGUAUAAUUAAUUGUUUUUGAGUUUACCUUUUUAGAUGUUUGCAGAUCUAAGGUGUUCUCCUUCGUGCACAAUUGUUGGCAUUCAAGGCACCGUUUCAAUUUGCCCCUGAUUGUUUUCAUUACAAAGGAGCUCUAGAUGUUUUCUAUAAGAUUAUACGUCAAGAAGGUGUUACAAGACUAUGGAGAGGAACCAAUGCUGGUGGGAAUCUAUCUUCCAUUUUAUGAUAUUUUCCGCAACAAGUUGUAGGAAUUCACUGCACACAAUUUCCCAAUUUUGACACCAUAUGCCUCUCUAGUUGCUGGUGCUCUGUCACGCUCAUUAGCUUGCACUACUUGUUACCCCCAUUGAGCUUGCUAGAACUCGCAUGCAGGUUUGUGUUCUUUGCUUCUCACUAAUGGUUUUCAUUUUGUGCAACCAAGCCUUUAGUUAGUAGGGUAAUGCAAUGAAGCCUUUAGUUAGUAGGGUUAUGUAAUUAAGCCUUUAGUUAGUAGCCUAGUAUUGCUAUGCAUUGAAGCAUUUAGUCAGGAGUUAUGCUCCUAGAAAAAACAUUUUGCUAUGUUUUUGUUAAAUAGGGAUGUAUUUCUUUCUACCAGGAUUGACCUUGCUCUCUUUAGCUGCCUCAAUAAUAAAAGUUACCAAGGAGCAAAUUUGUAAUCUUUUUAUGAUUCAUCUGACAAACAAGUCUCUAGAAACGUUUCAAACUUUCAAUAUACAAAAAAU